GAUGAACGCUGGCGGCGUGCCUAAUACAUGCAAGUCGAGCGAACGGACGAGAAGCUUGCUUCUCUGAUGUUAGCGGCGGACGGGUGAGUAACACGUGGAUAACCUACCUAUAAGACUGGGAUAACUUCGGGAAACCGGAGCUAAUACCGGAUAAUAUUUUGAACCGCAUGGUUCAAAAGUGAAAGACGGUCUUGCUGUCACUUAUAGAUGGAUCCGCGCUGCAUUAGCUAGUUGGUAAGGUAACGGCUUACCAAGGCAACGAUGCAUAGUCGACCUGAGAGGGGGAUCGGCCACACUGGAACUGAGACACGGUCCAGACUCCGACGGGAGGCAGCAGGAGGGAAUCUUCCGCAAUGGGCGAAAGCCUGACGGAGCAACGCCGCGUGGGUGAUGAAGGUCUUCGGAUCGUAAAACUCUGUUAUUAGGGAAGAACAUAUGUGUAAGUAACUGUGCACAUCUUGACGGUACCUAAUCAGAAAGCCACGGCUAACUACGU
rnacentral:rRNA from 1 species